UAGUCCACGCCGUAAACGAUGAUUACUCGUUGUUGGCAAUACAUAGUCAGCGACUGAGCGAAAGCAUUAAGUAAUCCACCUGGGGAGUACGUUGGCAACAAUGAAACUCAAAGGAAUUGACGGGGGCCCGCACAAGCGGAGGAACAUGUGGUUUAAUUCGAUGAUACGCGAGGAGCCUUACCUGGACUUAAAUGUAGAUUGACAGGACUAGAGAUAGUUUUUUCUUCGGACAAUUUACAAGGUGCUGCAUGGUUGUCGUCAGCUCGUGCCGUGAGGUGUCGGGUUAAGUCCCAUAACGAGCGCAACCCCUAUUUUUAGUUACUAACAGGUAAUGCUGAGGACUCUAGCGAGACUGCCGGUGCAAACCGCGAGGAAGGUGGGGAUGACGUCAAAUCAUCACGGCCCUUACGUCCUGGGCUACACACGUGCUACAAUGGUAUGGACAAUGAGCAGCCGCUAUGCGAAUAGGAGCGAAUCUAUAAACCAUAUCACAGUUCGGAUCGG
rnacentral:rRNA from 1 species